rnacentral:lncRNA from 1 species
AGGUGGCUUCCUGUUUGAAGGGCUCUCCGAUGAGGAGGAUGACUUUCACCCAAGUGCCAGGUCCACGCCCUCGAGCAGCACGUCCAGCUCCCGCCCAGCUUCCCUGGGGUACAGUGGAGCCGCCGGACCCCGGCCCAUCACUCAGAGCGAGCUGGCCACGGCCCUGGCCCUGGCCAGCACUCCGGAGAGCAGCUCUCACACGCCAACUCCUGGCACCCAGGGCCAUUCCUCUGGGACCUCCCCAAUGUCCUCAGGCGUCCAGUCAGGGACGCCCAUCACCAACGAUCUGUUCAGCCAAGCCCUACAGCAUGCGCUGCAGGCCUCCGGGCAGCCCAGCCUUCAGGUCAGUCUUCCCACUCCUGGUGUCCACGCGGCUCUUUGUCACCUUGGACACUGAGCUUUUUGUGCUCUGUGGAGGCCCUUCCCACUUGGCCUGCUUUGCUCCAGGACAGCUGGGCCGUGACAGUGUGACAGGAGAGGAUGCCCGCAGCAAGGGCGGUUGUCCCUGUGGCUUCCACUCCUGCACCCAGUGA